GCAUGGCUCAGUGGUUGAGCAUCGGCCUAUGAAGCAGAAGGUCAAGGUUUGAUUCCCUGUCAGGGCA
rnacentral:tRNA from 1 species